GAACCGUGGGAGUAUAUUACAGAAACUGCUAAUUUCCGUACCCGAGGCUAACUUCU
rnacentral:tRNA from 1 species